UACAGAGGUCUCAAGCGUUGUUCGGAUUCAUUGGGCGUAAAGGGUGCGUAGGCGGCGCGGUAAGUCGGGUGUGAAAUCUCGGAGCUUAACUCCGAAACUGCAUUCGAUACUGCCGUGCUUGAGGACUGGAGAGGAGACUGGAAUUUACGGUGUAGCGGUGAAAUGCGCAGAUAUCAGGAGGAACACCGGUGGCGAAGGCGGGUCUCUGGGCCGAUGACUGACGCUGAGGAGCGAAAGCGUGGGGAGCGAACAGG
rnacentral:rRNA from 1 species